rnacentral:tRNA from 1 species
GUCCAGCUAGCCUGGUCAGUUGAGCAUGAGACUCUUAAUCUCGGGGUUAUGGGUUUGUGUCCCGUGUUGGGCA